rnacentral:rRNA from 1 species
UACGUAGGGGCAAGCGUUGUUCGGAAUUACUGGGCGUAAAGGGCGCGUAGGCGGCACAGCAAGUCAGGAGUGAAAGCCCGGGGCUCAACCCCGGAAUGUCUUUUGAAACUGCCGAGCUAGAGUGCGGAAGAGGCAACUGGAAUUCCCAGUGUAGCGGUGAAAUGCGUAGAUAUUGGGAAGAACACCUGAGGCGAAGGCGGGUUGCUGGGCCGACACUGACGCUGAGGCGCGAAAGCCAGGG